ACAUGCAUAUUCACAUUCAUUGAAUCUACGUGCAUGCAUCUAGCCAAUGAAUCUUCAAAUUCGGCUGCACCUAAAUAAAAACGCAUGAACUUAAUUAAUUCAAACAAAUUCAGCUAAACUAAAUUAAAACAUAAUGUGAACACUCUAAUUGACAUUGUGACAAAUUAAAUAUUAACUAAACAAGACACAUUAAUUCUGCUAAACAUAACUAAUUCAUGUUUUAAUUUAAGACAUACUUAAUAAAAUUAAGACACAUUUAAUUUAAUUAAGACAAGACAAGUUAAACAAUUGUACUAAUUUUGUACACACUAAUGAGAUGUAGUAAACUUAAACAAAUGCUUAAUUUAAAUGUCCAAAAAUUCCAGCAAAUAAAAUUAAUGAGUUGAAAAGAAAUUAAACCGAGCUGAAAUAAGCUCAUGUGAGCUAAAAUAAAAUUAGGUCAGCUGAACCAAGGACAUGUCCGGGGCAGGGUCGUAUCAUUCCCCCUUCAUCGAAGCGACUUGUCCUCAAGUCGAGGCGUUGGUUCACUCGAACAUAGCUCUUUUUACCUGGCUUUCCUCGGUCAAAUGGUACGGAUGGAAAUUGAAUCAACUGAAAUGAAUAGUCAUGAGUUAGCAAAUAGCAAUGCAAACGAACUUGUAGUCCAAUCAUAAGCAUAACAGAAUGCAUGUGAAUGGACAGGUUCAAAACAACAUAUUGACAACCAUGCAAACAAAUUAAUUUACUCGCCAAUGCCUCAUUAAAUAUUCGAAACAACAAUGGACAUGUUCUAAGGCAUUCAAACGUUUUAAAUGGUUUCCACAAGCCAUGCAUAAAUCGCGAGUAAUAAAUAAAAUGGUAAAUGUAAUUGUCACAAGCAGACAUUUGAAAAGAUUCAUAUGAUUCAAGAAUUGGCUUGGUUGGACAUUGCAAUUUCCGUUUAAUCAUAUGGUCACCAAAAAAGUCACGAAGAUCAAACACAAGAAUCUUUUUAUCAACAACCAAAACAGGUAGAUGAUCAAUAAACAAGAUAGAACAGUCAGGCAAGUCGCAAUUUAAAUGUUUUACAAGAACCAAAUCAACAACACUAUCUUUGUCAACACCUAAAGAGAACAACAAUGUUUCAAAAAGUUCAUGAGCCUUACCUUUAAAAGUAGGAACACAAAGAUCAGUUUUACCUUGUUCAGUCAAUACAAACCUCCGCUCCUCGGGGGUAUAUUGUAGUCGAAGCUUUUCAAUUUGACUCUCCAUCUUUGGCGGUUGGGAGAAAAAAGAAAUCAAACUCAAAUUACAUCCAAAAUAAAUGAAAAAUUCAUUCAAUUGGUCAUGCAUCCAAAGUCUUAUUUGAUCAAAACUUGCAUAUCUCAAAUUAUCAAACAGUCUUGAUAUGUCAUUAUUGCAAACAAGUGAAUUCAAUCGAUUCAAAGGACAAUUACUCAUGCAUGUUCGCACACAAUCAAAUUCAAGAGUUCUUUUCCAUGCCUUUUCAACAUGAUCAAUCUCAAAGAAAGACUUAUAUGGGUGUUCAUCUUGCGCAUUCAAAAUGUACCAAGGACAAUGGAUUACAGUUUGAUUUGUUUGUGGUUCAGCAUAGCAAUUUGUAUCUAUAUUAUUCUUGCAAUCAUCGCUCAAAACAAGCACUUCAUGGCUAACCAAAAGAAAACAAUCAUUUGCAUCAGGAUACAAAUAUUUAUCAAAGGCCAAAGUGUCAAACAAAUUGUUCACAUAAAAUUUAGGAUGCUCGAAUUUCUCACAAAAUGGACCAAUAUAGCAAAGUCCAGGUUUGAACACACGAGUUUGAUCACUUAUUCCGUAAUGCAGUAGAAAUUUCAUUAAUUCAAACAUGCCAAACCAAGAAAAUUUUUGAGUACACAGUGUCACACCUUCAAACUUACAUAGGCAUGCAAAAUUUAUAUGACAAAGCAGAGACGUCUCACAAAUAAUCGAACUAGGAGAUUUACAUGACAACUUUUUAACACACAAUUUCAAAAAUUGUUUGUGUUGAUUUACACUUACUUCACCAGCAAACUUGUCAACAUGGCAAUUUUCGUUAGAGAAACUCGUCUUAUCAUCGUUUAAAACCAACACAUUUCCAUUAAUCAAAGAAGGGUAAUUGACCAUAUCAUCAUUAUAUUCACAAAUGUUCAAAUAAGUUGGUGGGGAUUGAAACAGGUUAUAACACUUACCUUUCUUAACUUGUGGCAUAGGUGGACUAGGAUUACCUUUACCAACCAACGUGAACCUUCUCUCCUUGGAAAGGUAUUGGAUUUGAAAAUAAUUUGGCACCGUUUAAUUCAUCAAGCAUGUCGUUGAGAUGCGGUAUCGGUUGACGAUAUUUAAUGGUUAUUUUAUUUACGACGCGGCAGUCAAUACACAUACGCCAAGUCCCAUCUUUCUUAGGGACCAACAAUAUCGGCACAGCGCAAGGACUAAGGCUCUCUCAACUGUAGCCCUUUUCCAUGAGUUCAUUGACUUGUCUUUGCAGCUCUUUGGUUUCUUCGGGAUUGGUUCUGUAUGCAGGUCGAUUCGGAAUAACGGCUCCAGGUACGAAGUCAAUUUGGUGCUCAAUCCCACGAAGGGGUGGCAAACCACUUGGCACAUCAUCCGGAAAUACAUCUUUGAAAUACUGCAAAAGAGAGACAACAGAAGAUGGAAUGUUCUCGGGAAGUUCAUUAGAGUUAAGAAAAUUUUCCUUAUACAUGAGCACAAGGAUCGGUUGCCUCAUUAAAAAUGCUUUUCGAACAUCACCAACCCUCGCAAAAACACUCAAUUUUUCACUUUCCUUUUCCUUUUCGUCUUUUUCUUUUCUCAAUUUCUUUUCAUUUUAUUGUAUAGUUUUUCCUCUUUUUUAUCAUUUUUCUUUUCUUUUGUAUUUUCACUCAUUUUUUUUCUCUCGUUUGUUCUAUCGAUUGUUUCAAUUUAACUUAGUCCUCAUACACUUGCUUUGGCGUCAACGGGGCUAAGGUUACAUUUCUUCACAUAUGCUUGAAAGAAUAGCGGUUUGAGUAUCCAUCAUACAUGACUCGACGAUCAAAUUGCCACGGACGACCAAGUAGUAAGUGACCCGAAUGCAUUGGAACAACAUCACAUAGUACCUCGUCGCAAUAAUUUCCAAUGGAGAAUGAAACUAGAACUUGCUUGGUGACCUUGAGUUCACCACCAUCAUUGAGCCAUUGGAGUUUGUAAGGGCUCGGGUGCUUGGUGGUUGGCAAGCCUAACUUCUUAACCAUAAGAGUGCUCGCCACAUUCGUGCAGCUACCACCAUCAAUGAUGACACUACAUAUUUUCCCUUGAACUUGGCAUCGUGGGUGGAAAAUGUUUUCUCGUUGUUGCUCGUCUUCCACACCUUUGAUGCUAAAGCUCCUUUUGACAACAAGAAGUUCUCCAUCAAGGGCAUGUUCAACUUCUUCUUCAUUGUCGGAUUCUGCUUCGAGGUCAUCUUCAAGUUCUUCCUCUUCCAAUUCAAUUUCUCCAUUCGUACGAACCACCAUAUUACUACUGUUGGGACAUUGGCUGGCGAUAUGCCCCCUUCCGAGGCACUUAAAGCACUUGAUAUCCCUCUUUCGAUUGGAAAAUGAAUCUAUCACAUUGCUUUUACUCGUGUCGCCCAUAGGUCUAUUUGUCUUAGCAGGAACCAUUGGCUCUUUGGCACGACUUGAUGGAUUGUUUCUAUUCGUGCUUUGACCCUAUUUUGUUGUACUCGUAGUAGGGUAGCUUCGAACAAAGCUCUUUCGCUUGAGUUGCUUCUCCACCUUAAUGGCCAUAUGCACCAUGUCCAUGAUUUCAAUGUAAUAUUGUAGCUCCACAACAUUGGCGAUGUCUCGAUUGAGACCAGCAAGGAAAUGCACCAUCAUUACUUCACAAUCUUCUUGGACAUUGGCACGAAUCAUUGCAAUCUCCAUCUCUUUACAAUAAUCUUCAACACUUCUUGAACCUUGAGUGAGAUUUUGAAGUUUUUGAUAGAGUUCCCGGUGAUAGUAGGAUGGAACGAAACGUCAUCGCAUCACAGCCUUCAUUUCGGCCCAAGUUGAUAUUGGCCGUUCCCCAUUCCUUCUCUGGCUCAUGGUGAGUUGAUCCCACCAAAUCAUGGCAUAAUCGGAGAACUUUAUGGCCGCCAACUUCACCUUUUUUAUCUCAAAAUAAUUGUGACAAUCAAAAACCAAUUCAAUAUUCUUUUUCCAUUCUAAGUAGGCUUCCAGAUUGGAUUUUCCUUGAAAAGAUGGAAUAGAAAGUUUCAUGUUCUUCAAGUCAUCAUCCACUCGUCUUCGAUCCUGAUUGUUUCGAUUCCUUGGACCUCUUCGCCUUUCGCUUUGGUUUGACCCUUGAUCACUUUCGGCUUCACUUGGAUCAUAGAGGUCUUCUUGAUUGGCGUCUAGGUGGCCUCGUUCUCUUUGUGGCCCUUGAGGAGUUUUUUCUCGUUGAGUCCUCUCCUCGACUCAUUCCAAACGCUCAUUGAAUGAUUCCAUCUCAUUCCGGAGCAUGCGUUGGAAUUCUUGCAACAUGGCUUGUUGAGUCAAAUCUGGCACUCCGCCUCCUCUAAGCGCGACGUUUUAGAUUGGUUGUCUUCCACCUCCUUCUGCCAUAUUUUGUUCUGGGUUUUGAGACAUGAAUAUAAAAACCUCACAACAAAAACCUCACAAAUCUCUCGAAAAAAAAAGUUGGUGUCACUUACACUCAUGUUUGCGCUCGUUUUUUGGCUUUUACCUCCAUUCUAAUGCGCUCACACACUCGUGCCUUUUUCACUCAAUUUCCUCUAGUGAUUUCGUAGAAGACUCGAUGUGACGUUAUCUUAGUCCAGUGGGUUGGCUUUAAAAUAGCUCACAAGGGAUUGAUGUUAGGUUAUGGGUAGGCUAAAAGAAAUAAGGGAGGCUUUGAACUAAAUGUGACGUGAAAAAAAAAGAGUAUUAGGUAAUGAUCGGUAUUACAAAUAAGCGAACAACUUUCAGAACUUGAAACAAAACACUUUUUUUUAAUUCACAAUUUUUUUUUCAAUUCACUUCUUUUUUUUUAAUUUCGUAAGUAUAUAUUUGUUUUUUUAAUUUUAAAUUUUUUUCAAACUUUUUUUUACAUACCUAUUUCAAAAUGACUUCGAGUGCUUGUACUUCUCGUUUUAACCAGCUUUGAUACCAAAUGAUGUGAUCCAGCUCGAGAAAAUUGAGUCGUUUCACAAAGUUUGCCCGAUCGUCGACGAUGAGAAGUUCUAGCAGCCAAAAAGGUGUAAAUUUGUUUUAAAAUUUUGCGGAAGCUAACAAAUUAAAUUUUGUAAUGAUAGAAGGUUUAGAAAGAUGUAGGUUUGGUUUAAUAAAGGAAUCAAAGGAUAGUUAAUUUGGGAUAAUUUGUGGGAAUGGAAAAAAGAAUUUAACUCUAGAAACGAUUCAACACUAAAGAGUGUCACCCCGGUUUCUAUUAGGUUAAGGUGGAUUUGCGAAAUUGUAGAAGGGUUGAACGCCACACCAAAAUAAGGUGAUAAGUUCAAAAAGAGAACGAUAGAUGCCACUAGCUCGCUAGAUAAGUCAGAUCGAAACUCAUACAAAUUUAGAGAGGAGAAAGCUCACUCUUUGAACAAAGUUCAUUCAAUAAACUGGAAAAAGUCCUUUUUACAAGAAAAUCAACAACUAUUUAUAGCCUAAAGUCUAGUAGCCGAAUGGACAGAUUCAAGACUUAAUAUUUAAGCAAACAUUGAACUAAAUUCCAGCUUUAAUUCAUGAAUGAAGACCAAGGUAGAUUCGGCGGAAUGGAGAAUAAAAAUUAGCUCCUCAAUUAAGCAAAUGAAUCUUGAAAGUUCUUGGCAGCAACUAAAUUCGAUUAAUGAUCUUAAUUUGGCGCAUUUGUGAAGCAACUCUUGUUGAAACAUCACCAGCAUUUAAGGAGAAUUUGAGCAACCCUUGGAAGUGUGAAUAGAAGGUUUUGUAAAGCCUCAUGGUGUGAACAAGCUGAACCAAACAGCCAAGGUGUAAACAGAUGGUGUGAAAAGAAUUAUGUUGCUUUGAGGAGAGGAUCGACCAUGUCUUGGAAAGUUGAAUGGUUACUGUCUCUUGGCCGAAUAGUUGCCUUAGGGAGAACCAAAAUUAAUCAGCUUCAAUGCAUUAUACCAGCUGCACAUGCAUAUUCACAUUCAUUGAAUCUACGUGCAUGCAUCUAGCCAAUGAAUCUUCAAAUUCGGCUGCACCUAAAUAAAAACACAAGAACUUAAUUAAUUCAAACAAAUUCAGCUGAACUAAAUUCAAACAUAAUGUGAACACUCUAAUUGACAUAGUGACAAAUUAAAUAUUAACUAAACAAGACACAUUAAUUAUGCUGAACAUAACUAAUUCAUGUUUUAAUUUAAGACGUACUUAAUAAAAUUAAGACACAUUUAAUUUAAUUAAGACAAGACAAAUUAAACACUUGUACUAAUUUUGGACACACUAAUGAGCUGUAGUAAACUUCAACAAAUGCUUAAUUUAAAUGUCCAAAAAUUCCAGCAAAUAAAAUUAAUAAGCUGAAAAGAAUUUAAACCGAGCUCAAACGAGCUGAAAUAAGCUCAUGUGAGCUGAAAUAAAAUUAGGUGAGCUGAACCAAGGACAUGUCCGGGGCAGGGUCGUAUCAUCUAUGUUUAAUAAACUAAUAUAAUGUAAUAAUAUUUUUGGUAUUAUUACUAAUUUAAUCCCUGAAUGAUUAAACAUACACUAUAUAAGUAUUGUGUCAAUUAAUUUAGUUGUUUUCCUUCAUUCAUAAUGCAUGAGAAACAUAUUCAUGAUUUUACUUGCAUGAGUAAAUAGAUCAAAAGCACAGAACAUCUUUAGUAGAAUUAAAUAAUUACAGCUACAAAAAUUAAAUCAUUCUAAAACCAACAAAAUUAAGUAAUCAUUAUUAUAUUAAAAGCACAUAAACUUAGUUGUAAUCAUAUUUCUUGAAUUGAAAAAAAAUAAAGAUUGAAAGGAAAGAGAAUUGCUAAGCCACUUCUAGUUGAUCUCCAUGGCACAACUCACUUUGCUCCUCAUUUGUUCUUUUCUUCUUGUUGUGACUACCAAGCUUUAAAGCUCUCAAUAUUGCCUAAAGUGGCUACUCUCAAAACCUUGCAAAUACUCUCUCAAAUGGAAGUGAAACGAGAGAGAACGAGAGAACAAAUGCCUCUUUAUUUAUACUAGUGAGGAGCUCAUUGAGUUUUCUAUUUUAAGCAUGAUAAUCCCCCAUUUUUUCUCUCAUGCAUGGUC
rnacentral:lncRNA from 1 species